rnacentral:lncRNA from 1 species
AAACUAGGAAAGGGGAUAACAUUUGAAAUGUAAAUAAAAUAUAAAAAAUGCCAAUUAAAAACUACAAUCUACAUAAGUCCUUUCAAGGAGUACUGAUAACUUUUUAUUCAGUCCUAUAUUCCAGUCAACUUGAUCAGGUCUUAUAUUUUUAUAUCCCUACUCAAGACUAUAACUAUAAUAUCUAUAGCACUUUGUUGUUAUUUACAUAUCUUUCCCAACCAGAUUAUAAAGUUCUUGAGGACAGGGGCACAGUUUUUGCACCUAAUAUAAUUUAUGAUAUCACAUCUAUUUUGUGCUCAGUAGUGAGUCAAAGAACUUACAGACAUAUCCAACAGAAAUUCAACAGAAUUUUAAAAGAUAUGGUGAAGAGCCAGAGAUGAUGGCACACUCCAUUAAUCCCAGCACUUGUGAGGCAGAGGGCAGAGACAGGCGGAUCUCUGGAGGCCAGCCUUAUGGAUGGAUGGAUAGAUAGAUGGAUAGAUAGAUAGAUAGAUAGAUAGAUAAAGGGAGAUGAAAGAUGAAAGGCAACUGCUGAAGCAGAGAAGCAGAUGUAUGUAUCUAUAUGUAUAUCUAUAUAUGAUGAAACGAGAGAAUUGUUUUAAAUGUUUCUGUCCUAGUGCAAUUUUUUAAAGAUUAUGAUUUAUUUAUAUUAAUAUUAAAAAAGGAAAACCUCUCCAGCUGGUUCAACUAUGAAACCAGUGCUGACCACAGCUCAAAGGGAAGAUGACUAAUGCUACAUACAUAGAAAACACUUUCAUAUAAUUUGAAAGGUGAUCCAAUAUGCACUAAGUGCUUAGGGCACAUUAGCCUUUUAAGAAAAUGUUAGAGGAUGUUAUAUAUCUACAUUUGGAAUCACUACAGUUCCUGUGGAAGUUACUCUACCCAGUUGCUUUCCCAGUUCUAUAUUGUAUAAGUAGGUCUCAUCCAAUCCCAAGCCCUUUUUUUGUUUGUUUGGUUUUUGCUUUUUGUUUUUCGAGACAGGGUUUCUCUGUGUAGCCCUGGCUGUCCUGGAACUCACUCUGUAGACCAGGCUGGCCUUGAACUCAGAAAUCUGCCUGCUUCUGCCUCCCAAGUGCUAGGAUUAAAGGCGUAGGCCACCACUACCCGGCUACACUUUCCUUUUUAAAACAGGACUCACUGAACCUGGAGUUCAUCUGUUCAGGAGGCCAGCUGGGUAGCCAGCAAGCCCCAAGGAUCACUCUCUCUCUCCCUCCACAGUGUUGAUUAGAUAGGCACACAGUGCUAUGCCAACUUUUUACAUGUGCACUGGAGAAUUCAAGCUCCAGUCCUCAUUGUCCAUGUUUGGCAAGCACUUUAGGACUGCUCUGUCUCCCUGCCUUUCCAAAAGGGUGUGGGUUAAGGCUUUAAUUGUUUCCUCCUCCUCCUCUUCCUUUUUGUACUCCAUAUUAACAUGAAAAUCUAUAGCAUUCUGCCUCCUCUUUUGUUUAUGGAAUACCCUCUUAGGUACCUUGGUCCCUAAAGCUAGUAGAAUUCUAAGAUCAGAUCAUAGAAGUGGGAUGUGUGGACUAUAAUUGACGAAUUGACAGUAUGUAUCAUUUUAAAACCUGAUAAUAUGCUAAUAGUAUCUGUAUCACAAAAGCAGUCAGCCAGAUUCAGAAUAUGAGAAAUUGUAUUUAAUGAGUAGAUUCUCCAAAACAUGAAUGGCACAGUGUAGAAGAAUGAUUUAUAGAUUAAAAAGAGCCAUGGCAAUCAAAUGCAGCAUGUAGGUUUGGCGCCUACAGUGGACAGAACAACUAUAAAAAGACACUUGUGAGAUAAUGAGAACUGGGUAGUUAGUGUACAUCUGUAGUCCCAGUAUUCAACGUAGCAAGAUAGAGGGAUCAGUUAUACCUACUAACCUAGACAGCAUAAUGAGACACUGCCUCAAAAACAAAUGAGAGUCACAGUAAUUGAGGGAAUUUGAAAUACAUGGCUUUAAAAAACAUUAAAGAAAUUCUAAUUUUCUUAGAUCUACUUAAGAUAUUGUUGUUAUGAGAAGCCCUCAGGUAAAGAUAACCUGUUGGAGUAUUUACAGGUGAGAUGAAAUGGUCUGGAUUUCACACACACACACACACACACACAC